CCUACGGGUGGCUGCAGUGAGGAAUAUUGGUCAAUGGGCGCAAGCCUGAACCAGCCAUCCCGCGUGCAGGAAGAAGGCGCUAUGCGUCGUAAACUGCUUUUCCGGGGGAAGAAAUUUAUAUACGAGUAUAUAAUUGCCGGUACCCCGGGAAUAAGCAUCGGCUAACUCCGUGCCAGCAGCCGCGGUAAUACGGAGGAUGCGAGCGUUAUCCGGAUUUAUUGGGUUUAAAGGGUGCGUAGGCGGAUUAAUAAGUCAGUGGUGAAAACCUGCAGCUUAACUGUAGAAUUGCCAUUGAUACUGUUAGUCUUGAGUACGGUCAAGGUAGGCGGAAUGUGUAAUGUAGCGGUGAAAUGCUUAGAUAUUACACAGAACACCGAUUGCGAAGGCAGCUUACUGGGCCAUUACUGACGCUGAUGCACGAAAGCGUGGGGAGCGAACAGGAUUAGAUACCCCUGUAGUC
rnacentral:rRNA from 1 species